GUCUACAGCCUUAUCGCCCUAAAUGCACCCAAUCUCAUCUGAUCUCAAAAGCUAAACAGGGUCAGGCCUGGUUAGUACUUGGAUGGAAGAAAAAUCUUCAGAGAAGACUGCUCAGCAGCAAGCA
rnacentral:rRNA from 1 species